UACGUAGGGGGCUAGCGUUGUCCGGAAUCAUUGGGCGUAAAGCGCGUGUAGGCGGCCCGGUAAGUCCGCUGUGAAAGUCGGGGGCUCAACCCUCGGAUGCCGGUGGAUACUGUCGGGCUCGAGUACGGAAGAGGCGAGUGGAAUUCCUGGUGUAGCGGUGGAAUGCGCAGAUAUCAGGAGGAACACCGAUUGCGAAGGCAGCUCGCUGGGACGUUACUGACGCUGAGACGCGAAAGCGUGGGGAGCAAACAGG
rnacentral:rRNA from 1 species